CCUACGGGUGGCAGCAGUGAGGAAUAUUGGUCAAUGGGCGCGAGCCUGAACCAGCCAAGUCGCGUGAGGGAUGACGGCCCUACGGGUUGUAAACCUCUUUUGUCAGGGAGCAAAGUGACGCACGUGUGCGGUUUGGAGAGUACCUGGAGAAAAAGCAUCGGCUAACUCCGUGCCAGCAGCCGCGGUAAUACGGAGGAUGCGAGCGUUAUCCGGAUUUAUUGGGUUUAAAGGGUGCGUAGGCGGGUGCUUAAGUCAGCGGUAAAAUUUCGGGGCUCAACCUCGUCUAGCCGUUGAUACUGGGAGCCUUGAGUGGGGGAGAAGUACGCGGAAUGCGUGGUGUAGCGGUGAAAUGCAUAGAUAUCACGCAGAACUCCGAUUGCGAAGGCAGCGUACUAGCGUCCAACUGACGCUGAAGCACGAAGGCGUGGGUAUCGAACAGGAUUAGAUACCCGAGUAGUC
rnacentral:rRNA from 1 species